rnacentral:lncRNA from 1 species
AUUCAAUAAAAUCUUAGGCUUCUAUGCCUUCUCUCCAUCUCAAUUCUCUCCAUAAUCUAUUUAGUUUACAACACGUUAUCAACAUGAAUUCGCUUUCAAAUAUACCAACUGAAAUCUCUGAUGAAACCCAGAUUCUUUCCCCUACCUUCCUCCCUCUCUUGCCAUUUCUUCAGCUUUCCUUGUAUGUCUCCGUGUUAGAGAGAGAGAGAGGGAGAUAAUAGAAAAUUGUCAAGCAAUUGAUGCAGCAAUUUUGGUUAUCAACAUCCAAGCUGGAAAGAAAGAAAAAAGAAAAAAAAAAUUUGGUCUGUCAGUGCAAGUGAGAUCACGAAGACCAAUCCUAGCCACUAUGUUGAUCUACUCAUCUCCACCACCUUGUGCCCCUCCAAUCCUAACAAAAAUAGUGAUAAAAUUGUUGUGCGGAAGCGUCAACCAACUGCGAGUGAAAAAUAAAUAACAACAGGCAGGAGAAAAAUUGAACAAAAUAAUCAACAAGAACAACACCAAGAUUUAUACUGGUUCGGCAACUGCCUACAUCCAGUUUGGAGACGACGGAGUAUUCCACUAUAAUCAAUGAGAGAAUACAAUAGUGUUUACCACUCAAUUUCCCAAAGACCCAAAUACACCCAACCUCACACACUCACAAAGGAAGAGAAAACAAUGAUACAAAGCAAAGAACAACUAGAGAGAAUUUGUUUCUCUCUUUGGCAAAAAUGCCUUUCUUGCUAUUUUUCUCUUCUACUCCACACUUGGUUUGAUCCUUGGUUGGAUGCUU